UGAUGCCUGACACUUCUCACCAGGCGCUCCCUGACAGGCAUCUUCAAAGGACAGUGGUUGGUUAGCCUGCUGGCUUUUGUCCCGGAGUCACUCACACAUAGGGGUGAUUUUUCCUAUGCGCUGUUGCAUUAUUUUGAUUUGAAGAAGCCAACCCUGGUGCAAACCCAAGAGAGAACAAGGAGGAAGGAAUGAUUCUAGAACAAUCGGACACGGUGGUGUGUGGGAGAGAAGACUGAGGCCGAGGAGGCAUUGAGGAACCUGCCUGCGGUCCCACACCGAGAGAGUGACCCACCCUCCAGGGUCUCUCACUGAACUUGAAGCUCACCAAUUCCUAUAGAUUAGCUGGUCAGACAUCCCUGGGAUCCUCCUGUCUCCAAACCUCCAACCUAGGUCCUCAUGCUUGUGUGGCAAGUACUUUUCCUGCUGAGCCAUCUCCCCAGGCCCACCCUUCCCUGCGCCAGCCUUCUGAGAAGCCAAUCUCCACAACUGCCAGGGCUGAGCUGGCCACUUCCGAGAAGGUGUGUGUUCCUGUCCCCCACCAACCUUUCUGGCACUGCCCAGAUGCCAACUUGGCUUGUGCCUGGCAUGUCACUUCAUAAACAUUUCCCCAAUUCUUGUGAAUGAACAGUGUUUACUCAACAGCCUGGAUGGCUCAGAGACAACCACAGACCCCAGUACCAUGGUGUGCGGCUCAGCGCACCACUGUGAAUUGGUAUUUCAAAAGGAUUACGGUGCUAAUAAGCAGGGGCUCCAGCCCCAGGGCACUGGACUACAAGGCAGAUGACAGCAAGUGCCACCACCUUGUAAAGGGCAUCUCUGCUAUGCCAGCUUUGUCCAGCCCUCGGAGAUGGGGUACCCCUGCCCCAACAGUGCAGGAGACCCCCUUUUCUGGCAGUGCCUGGGGGAAUCCCACACUUCAUGCAUGCAUGCCUGCAUGAGUAUUGAAAGAAAAAAAUGUCUGUUCCCUCCAGCUGAGUGCCUCAAGCAAUUGUGAACUUUUUUGAUCUCUUUCCUUUUCAUAAACCCCCAAGUAAAUAAUAAAUGGGAGAAACAGA